rnacentral:lncRNA from 1 species
CAACAAAAAAAAUAUCAAAAAAGCCAAAAAAAAAACCUUCAAAUAACAAGUCAUUCUGCUGCAGUAGUUGACAAGUGCAAGCUAAGGACCCUUUCACUUUUCUCCAGUUGCUUCUUCUUUCGCCAUCUAAAUCUGUACCCAAACAAACAAGAAUUGAAAGGAAUCCAAUUCGUGUUGUCGCCAAAAGUAUCUUUUGAGAAUACUUAUAUAUAAGAACAAAUCCCACAACAAAGCUGUACGUAGUUUUCAUAUACCAUCAGUAAUUAUCUAUCUGCUCUCUCCCUCUCUCUAAUUCUUCUUUUCUCUUUUUACUUCUGUAUCGAGGGUUUUUAAUUAUUGAGUUUAUCAGACAUGAAUGAGCCUCCAAAAUAUGGUUAUCCAUACCCCUCUCAAGGUCAAGGUAAUAACACAUCUAUAUGCUCCAUACAUAUAUGUUCCUUUUUUCACUUUAUAUAAAAAGAAUAGUCUAGUAUACUAAGCUUCUUCUUUGCACAAAGUGAAGAAGGACCGGAUCACAUGGCUCUAAUUUUAUUUUGUAUUUCUAUAAAAAAAAGUUUUGUAACUUGAUCUGUAACCUCCUUAUCUUACAUUUCUGCAAGAAAUUAUUUUUGUGACUAGCUAGUAAUAGAACAAUAAAUUUUAACUUUGCGCCAAAUUUUUUUUUCCUUUGUUUUUUUAAUUGCGAAAAACAAUGUUGAGCUGAGCAUAUUUCACUUUUUAAAUGUUUCUUGAAAUAUAGGAUAUUAUCAGGGACCUCCUCCUCCAGUGAUGGCGCCACCAACAUAUGCAGCUGCUCCUCCACCUCAGAAAAACAGAGGUUUUCUUGAAGGAUGGUAAGCUUUAAUUUCCUCGCUCCUCCACUAUCCUAAAAUUUAUUGAUAUAUGAAGAGAUUAUAUUCUUGUGAAAUUUUUAAUAAUACUAAUCUAAUAAGGAAAAUCAAGAAAAAGAAAAAGUCUAUAGCCUUUCUUCAAUGAAUUAGCUUAUAUACAAGGAGUAGAUUUAUAAUUUUUUACACUAUCCGCGCAUUUGAAUCUAAAUUUUCAUUUUCGUGUGUUUAAAUUUUUAAUUCUUUCCUUUUUGGCUAAAAGGUGUUUUUAAGAAAAUUCUUUUAUAUUUUAGAUAUUUUUUUAAUUUUGUGAAUUAUUGCAGCCUAGCAGCUCUGUGUUGUUGUUGCCUGAUAGAUGAGUGUUGCUGCGAUCCCUCUAUCAUCUGUAUGUGGUAAGGUGUUGCAGGCUGCCAAUUUCAGUUUUUGCUUUGUACCAAAAUAGUUAAGAAUUGCAAUGUAAAUAAGUUCUUUAGGAACAGCAGUAUUGGGAGUUUAUCUUGUAAUUAUCCUUUUAACUAUUGAACUCUUUUUUGUUCUCUGAGAGAGUUACCAUUUCAUUAAUUGUAUUAUCCAUUUCUGCUUUCCUGCCUUGAAUACCAGCUGGAUUUAACCCAA